UCAUUAUUAUUGAGUUUCACAGUGGUUCCUCUGUUUAUUUCAAGAUACCUAGAUAAUGCUGAAAAGCCAUAAGAUAAUUAAUUAUAAACUACACUUCGCUCUACCAAGAAGUAGGUAUUUAUGAGUCUUGAAUUAUUCAGCGCUUUUGGAAAUAAAUAAAUGUGACAAAAUGUAAAAUUAACGAUUAAAACCUACCAGCAUGAAUAAAAUACACAACACAUCUUGAUACUAUCAUACCAAGUUACAAUAGAAAGCAUCAGUUAAAAAUCCCGUUCAAUUAUUAUUAAUGUCAGAAGAGUCCUACAGUCACCCUGGUAAUUCUUAAAACAACGAAGUAAGCAAAAAGGGCCUAAGUCUUGGGGAAUUAGUUAAAAUGUAUUCCACAGUGAGCCGCACGCCACAUACUACACAGCCACCCGUACCCACCUGUAAAUAGGUGGCUGGUGGCUAUGGGUGAGAUGUGUGUGUGCUCGACCCUUAGUCGACAGAAUCAUCUCAAAAUGAAGAUCACUGUUGAAGGGUGACAUGAUUUAUAUGAUAUGAUUUAUAUUUUGAAGGGGGAGGGGCCAAACACCCAAGCCCUGCCGAACCCUGUAUAACUUACUUCUAGUCUGUACAGACUCACCUGCCCGCCAGUUCUCAGGGACAUAUCUAUUUAUGAGGCUUAUGAAGUCACUGUGAGGUUCGUAAUGGCAACCUUCACCUUAGUAUCUCUCUGUUAAUUUUCAGGGAACACCAACAUGGUCCGAGUACCAAUAUGAAAUAAGCUAACCCAUAUUGGAUCAUUUGAACACAAGGGUAAGCGAAGCAUUUUGGGUCAUGGCAAACAGUGCACUUGGAGUCAGAGAAAACAACAAACCAAGAACCGCCUUGGUCAACUAUCAGGACGAGAACAGCGAAGACUGCAUGGAGCUCACAGGGGACUCAUUUGGUGAUUAUGCAGAAAAUUAGUUGCAGUCGCAACAAAGCCAACACCACCUUCGCUCUUUGACUAAUCAGAAAAUAUCUUUAUCCUUGAAGCAUUGAAAAAUUAGAAGAAAUCAAUUAAAGUCAUCGCUGUAGUUUGAUACUGAGGGGUCCCUCUUUACAGCUUAUAAAGACGUACUCAGUCACCAUACAAGGACAGGGAGAGAACCCAACCUCUCUGACCUCAGACACAUCGAGAAUACAGUCCAGAAGAGUAGCCUGAACCUGAACACGAAAUGAAAGGAUGAGCAACGAGUUUCCUCCCUCCACUGCCUAGACCACAACUUGAAUUGGGUUGCCGGGUGUAUGCUGAACCCAGAAGUGGUGCUGCAGGCCCAUUUAUCCAUGAUGGAGAUCCAGGGAAAUCUCGCUAGAUUUGACAUACAGUGGCCGCUGAGGCGAUGAUAGGCCAUACGCACAAUCUGAUAAUGGUUCUCACUAUCUUUGUUUCACCAAUGGCAUGGUCAAGGAAUGAUAGCCAGUCAUAAUCCCCCUGUACGUCACAGAAAUCAUUAAGGACACAGGAGAUCUAUUUCCGAGCUUAAAGAGCCACUGGUCUGUCCCUCCAGCUUCCACUAUGGAGGACAAACUGGAUGGGAGGAUCCUCCAACUUCUGGAGGAGAGAAAAACGAUCACUAUCAUGUAACUAAGGGAGACCUGGCUAUCUGAAGCCCAGAUACACAGAACUGAAAAAGAGGUUCAUGGCCUUCUGGCCAUGAACCUCUUUUGAGGCCAGGGACCCAUCAUUUAGGAUGCUAACAUCCAAAAGUGUCAGCAUGGUGCCCCCAUAAAAACAUUAUCUCCUCAUUCCCCAUGUCUGGGACAAAACAACCCACAUCCCACUUUGGGUGGUGGGCAUUAAAGUCAACCAGGAUGAAGAACAGGUAGAGUAACUUACAGAUUAAGUCAAUAAAAGUAAAUUUUCCGAAAAUUCAAUCUGGAGGGAGGUACAGUGAGCAUACUCUCAGCUUUCCCUGCAAGUUCAAUCGAAUGACCACAACCUGAAGAGUGAAGCUCUUACGAAACUGGCUGUGGCAGAUAGCGUGGAUCAAGACAACCGCAAUUCCAUGGCAAUUGUACCAUGAGGGGAUCGUUUGAUCAUCUGACAGAGGCCUUCUACUGGUUUUCAUGUCCAUUCUUUUAAAAAUUUAAGAUGAAUGCAUUUUGUUAUUUGCAACUGCAUUCUAACUUUAACAAGAUAUUAAUAUAUAUUUAAUAAAUGUGGAUAAUUAUAUUCGUAAUUCUGUAAGCAAGUGUUCAGUGGUAUAAACAAACACACAGGGAACACAGACAACUCCAUUGUUCAGGUUUUAGUCUCUAGAAAAUAUUGUAAUGACGUGCCAUAAUCCCGAAAGAGGGCACUAAUGUCUUCAGUAAGGAGUCACCCGUCAAACCAUCAAAAGAUAGGAACGGAGGCAGGCAGGCUAGACUAGUGUCUCCUGCGCAGGUGGUAAAAGCAGUGACAAGAUGCCUGAAGGCUGAGAAGGAAGGGGGUUCGAGGUUAUUAAUCAAGUUUGGCAGUCAAACAACGCCAGGUUAAGGUGACCCAAAGUUGAGGGGCUCAACUUGGAGUGAAAAGUCCUCUAUAUUUAAAAUUUGCUCUCCUCCGAAUAUUUUUCUGCUAUACCUGUCAUGGUGAAAAGCUUUUGAUUCAAGGAACUGGAGCUACCCUACCCAUUCUUCGAUUAAACUUAAUAUUAUUCUCCUCCUCAGGCACUGCAAGACACCUAUGGGUUCAAAGCCCUAGGAAUAUAAUAAUAACUAGACUUAUUUCAGUCUGUGCGCGAGCUGAGAAUGGUAUCCCUUGUAUGUGGAUGACUCAGCCUCCUGUACCUCACUACUGCAUUGACGAUUUGAAGCAAAUUAAAGGAAGCAUUCAGAAGUUGUUGCAUGAAAACAAAUAUUCCAGUUUCUACAAUAAAACUGGCAAAUUGGCGCUUACACACUCCAAAAUCAAUAUAAACUUACCACUAAAUAAGAUACACCAAUUUUGUAAGUUAGAAGUUAACCAGCAUCCCUGUUUGUUUAAUAAAAUAUGCAAAUCAGAACUUACACGACCCAAGAAAAAUAACAACCAUACUCCGAGUGAAAUACAGAAGCACUGAAAUCUGAAUUUGAUCAGAAGUUGCAUUCUUUACUUAUCUCACAGAAAAAAAUACCCCAUAAUUUUCUUAAUAAAACUGGCAUAUUGACACCUACAUAGUCCAAGACUGAACCAAAAAUGUGAAAAAGAAUAGUUGGGUUUGAGAAGGACCUGCCUAGCAUGGACCCGUCGGCCUUUAGCAGAUUAAAACCUAACACCCUAAUAACAAAGUUAAACUGCCCUUCAGCAAAACCCAGUAUCACUAAACGUUUGAUGCUGAUCACAAUAGGCAUUUUCCACUUAUCACACGAAGUCCAACAAUUCCAUAUUAAUAACUAUGUCAGUAAAUUGCCAAAUUUUCACCAACACAUCCUAGUCUUAAAUGAAAUUAUUAUUUUUAUAAUAGGCAUCAGUCAUUAAAAAUUCAAAGUGUUCAGACGAGGCAUCCUCAUGUUAUUGAUAAAAAACCUUUGACAAUAAUUGGGAAAUUGGCACAACACACUCCAAUAACAAUAUGAAUAUUCUUCUAAAUAAUUUAUGUAAGUGUUGAGGGUUUAGAGGCUGAUCAUAAGAGCUGUGUCAAGUUAUUGCACAGACACUAAAAUCAGGAAUUCGUUAAUUGCAAUGACAGAUGGUCACCUGUCAUUCUUAAAGUUUCAUGAAUCUUCCCGUAGUUAUAAUUAUCAGCAUUGCAAAUCUGAAGCGAAUCUGCCCAGGUGGUCUGGAGUUAUAAAUGAAAAUCUUGAAAGAAGAAAAAUUUUAAAACUGUGUCAGAGUCCGUAAUCAGCUCCUAUACUUAAAAGUGUGACGGUUAGGUUAGGUAAGGUUCGUCAGGAAACAGGACAAAUAUUUCCUGACGCGGGUCUUAGUCAGAUGAUGAUCCGCCUUUGGAGCUUUUGGUCAUCUGACCGAGGCCUUCCGCUGGCUUACCGGUCCACCCCUUUCAAAAUUAUGGUCAUUUAUAACCAUUGUAAAAGUGUGAAGAAAAUGGUAUCUAAGCCCUUCGCAACUUUUGUAUUCUAUUUCAUAUUCUCUACUGUUAUGCAAAAAAAAAAAAUAAAAUAAAAAGAAUCUCACAAUUUGAUACUAUUAUCAUUUUGCCAAUUUUGUUUUUAAAAACUAUCAAAAUAACCCGGUAUUGUGUGAACUUUGCUUCUCAUAAGAUAAAUGUUGAAAGGUUAAUGAUUUUUUUUAUUUUAGUAGUUCUUUCGACGGUUUCUAAAUUCUUCUCCCCGACACUCGCCUCGUCAGGAGGCGGGUGUUGGGGGAUUUAUUCUUUUGAAAUUAAUAUGUUUAUGAAAUCAUUAUAAAAAAAGAGCUUUAAAAUAAAUUUCCACCCAAUAUAUGGAUUUUUUUUUUGGCAAAACUGGGAGUUGUGCUGGCAAUAAAAUGUUUUUGGAAUGCCAUAUAAACUAAAUCCUGCGCCUGUGAAUAAUUAAACCUGUGACAAA